ACGAACGCUGGCGGCAUGCCUAACACAUGCAAGUCGCACGAGACCUUCGGGUCUAGUGGCGCACGGGUGCGUAACGCGUGGGAACCUGCCCUUAGGUUCGGAAUAACUCCCCGAAAGGGGUGCUAAUACCGGAUAAUGUCUUCGGACCAAAGAUUUAUCGCCUUUGGAUGGGCCCGCGUUGGAUUAGCUAGUUGGUAGGGUAAAAGCCUACCAAGGCGACGAUCCAUAGCUGGUCUGAGAGGAUGAUCAGCCACACUGGGACUGAGACACGGCCCAGACUCCUACGGGAGGCAGCAGUGGGGAAUAUUGGACAAUGGGCGAAAGCCUGAUCCAGCAAUGCCGCGUGAGUGAUGAAGGCCUUAGGGUUGUAAAGCUCUUUUACCCGGGAUGAUAAUGACAGUACCGGGAGAAUAAGCUCCGGCUAACUCCAUG
rnacentral:rRNA from 1 species